rnacentral:rRNA from 1 species
GUUGUUCGGAAUUACUGGGCGUAAAGGGCGCGUAGGCGGCGUGUCAAGUCGGGCGUGAAAGCCCCGGGCUCAACCUGGGAACCGCGCUUGAGACUGGCAUGCUCGAGUUCGGGAGAGGAUGGUGGAAUUCCCAGUGUAGAGGUGAAAUUCGUAGAUAUUGGGAAGAACACCGAUGGCGAAGGCAGCCAUCUGGACCGACACUGACGCUGAGGCGCGAAAGCGUGGGGAGCAAACAGG